CUUUAAAAGGCCACAGUCAUCAGAUAACACCACUGCUGUGAAAACAUGUACGUGCAUCCAUAUGAAUGCCAGGACUGAAGGUUUCUCAAGAGAACAUUGCCCACCAGCAUUCUGGCAUUCCCCUAGUGCAUCUUGCUUCCUCAGGUAAACAACGCACCAAGCCAUCCACCUGAUCUAAAAGAAAACAUGAUUUAUCAGACAUUUAUCAGACCAGGCAACAUUCUUACACUGCUCCAUGGUCUAGUUCUGAUGUUCACGUUCCCAUUGGAGGCGUACUCAGAGGUGGACAUGGGUCAUCAUGGACACUCUGACCGUUCUGUGGGUACACAGCAAACUGCGAUGCACUCUGUGUGUUCAGGCACCUCUCUAUCAUGGCCAGCAUUAAGCUUAACAGCAAUUUGAGCUACAGUAGCUCUUCUGUGUGAUCAGACAAGAAAGGCUAGCCUUCGCUUACCAUGUCCCUAUCUAUUUUCCCCUCCGCUACCUCCACAAAAACGGUCGUGUCACUUUGUGGGGUCUAUGUAAAAAAAUAUGCAAAUACCUCACAAGUGACAGUGAUGCU